rnacentral:pre_miRNA from 1 species
AAUUUCAGCUGAAAAAGUCAUGAACAUAAAAGUUGUAGAACUCAUCAAGACAUACAACUUUUAUUUUGGUUAUUUCUUCAUCCGACAAAGUGAUAGUAACAUUGUUCAUAAAAUUUACAUAUAUCUCUUACAGUUUAUAAAACCAAAUGAGAGAUGUAAAAUUUUGUGAACAAUGUUACUAUCACUUUGUCAGAUGAAUUAAUGACCAAAAUAAAAGUUAUAAAUAUUGAUGAGCUAUACAACUUUGUUGUUGAUGACUUUUUCAGUUGAAAUC